rnacentral:tRNA from 1 species
GAUACUAAGAUAUAACAAGUAAAGUUUCUGAUUCGUAAUCAGCAGGUCGCCGGUUCGAUUCUGGCUAGUAGCU